rnacentral:rRNA from 1 species
UGAGGAAUAUUGGGCAAUGGGGGCAACCCUGACCCAGCAACGCCGCGUGAAGGAUGAAGGUCUUCGGAUUGUAAACUUUUGUCUUUGGGGACGAAUAAAUGACGGUACCCAAGGAGGAAGCCACGGCUAACUACGUGCCAGCAGCCGCGGUAAUACGUAGGUGGCAAGCGUUGUCCGGAUUUACUGGGUGUAAAGGGCGUGUAGGCGGGACUGUAGGUCAGAUGUGAAAACUGGAAGCUUAACUUCCAGACUGCAUUUGAAACCCCAGUUCUUGAGUAUCGGAGAGGAAAGUGGAAUUCCUAGUGUAGCGGUGGAAUGUGUAGAUAUUAGGAGGAACACCAGUGGCGAAGGCGGCUUUCUGGACGAUAACUGACGCUGAGGCGCGAAAGCGUGGGGAGCAAACA